rnacentral:lncRNA from 1 species
UUAAUCUCUUCUUCUCGAUCAGAUUCAGUUGGUCGUAACGACUCUGAAUCCAUUCAGCACCAGCCAACUUGGGACUUUGAGGGUGCUGUUUUUUCUUUUGUUUCUUUCUUUCUUUUUUUUUCUUUUGUUCUUUUUUGAUUUCUUUUGAUUUCUUUUGAUUUGCACCCUCCUCUCUUUUUUUGUUGUUUUUUUUUUUUGAUAAUGCCCCAAUUGGCUGUUCUGCUGAUUCUCGAGAUACAGCUGAGUGAUCUUCUUUUCUUGCUCAAGAAGUCGGGAAAUCUCGUCAGGAAUCCCUUCAACAUCAUCUUCUUCCGCUUCAAAUACAGGGAAUUC